CUAGUGGCGAACGGGUGAGGAACACGUGAGAAAUUUGCCCCGAACUUUGGGAUAACAGUUGGAAACGACUGCUAAUACCGAAUGCCGUUACGAAGUGGCAUCACUAUGUAACGAAAGAAUUUCGGUUCGGGAGAAUCUCGCGGCCUAUCAGCUUGUUGGGGAGGUAACGGCUCACCAAGGCUUCGACGGGUAGCUGGUCUGAGAGGGCGACCGGCCACACUGGGACUGAGACACGGCCCAGACUCC
rnacentral:rRNA from 1 species